UGUCGCCGUUUCCACGCCUGCUGUCGGGGACGUUCUCGCGCUUUCCCCGCAAUGCGGAGCUCAGCGCCCGAACGGUAGGGGUGAUCCGGAGCGGCGGCGGCCGCUCGGCGUCCUCCAUCACCGCCAAAGCACAAACAGGGCCAGUAUUUCCAAGCACAUGGACAAAGCAGUACAAUUCAAUGACAUGAGUGUUUUCCAGCAUACUCUGUGUUUCGGACUAUCUUGGGUACAGAGAUGCCUCCAUUCUCAGACAGGGAACUCUCCAGGCUCCCUCCACCUCCAGGCUGUUGACUGACUCUAUCUGUGUGUGACCAACGGAGUGUGACCGGAGGAGUCCCAUCAAGUCCGUCUGGUUUCGACCUGGAAAGUCCGGUGGAUUCAGCAGAGAACCUGAUCCUCCCUGGGGACCUUGGCAGCCUGGAGAAACUCGCUCGCAGAGGAAACCGUUUCUCAUUAGACGCCACAAGCUGUAGCACGUCUUCCUGCGAUUCAGUGUCCUGCUGAGGUAACACGAGAAUCCAGGGAUGCAAGUUUCCAGCAGUUCAACUGUCCACACUUUAUAUUAUUACAGUAUUAAUGCAGCAUUUGUAAACACAAAUGAAUUCUCAGCCACUUGUGGAAAAAAUCUGCUUUAUUACAGGACAAUUAGUUUUUUUCAAAUAAACAGUAGUACACAACAUUUUACCAACAUGGAAGGCAUCGGAGGACUCAAUCACACGUGCACUGAUUGAUAAAUGCUUGGUUUCCCUCCUUCACACACAGCUUAACUAAUCACAGACAAUGCAUAGAUGGCCCUGACAGGAAGACUGACGGCUCCUUGGAACAGUGUGAAACCUCUUCUUAAAUUCUAAUUUGAAGUAGUUACUUGUGCGUGUGUACAGUAUGAAUACAGACGCCCUGGCGUAGUGUCUGUUGGAAGGAAUCUCCAUGUGCGACUGGCUUCGUCUCAAAACAGACGCUUCUCGUAACUGCGGGAGAGAGAAGGAAAGGAUCACACGACUAUCCAUGAUGCUCUGAGGUUUCCUGUCAAGACAGACGCAACCAGAGGGCCGAGAGGUGGCAGCGAAGAGGAAGCUCAACUCGAGGCUUGUGGCGAUACACAGAAGUAAGGACUUUUAGGAACAGCGCAAGCACCAGCGCUGUAUCCGCUUCGCAGAGUGGAUCAAUGCUGCAGGAACACGUGUGUGUGUGUGUGUGUGUACCUGUGAAGGCUGUGCACGCCCCCCUCCAUUUGGGCCGACGCCGUUCUCUUUUCAAAUUUCAGAUCUCCAGAGUACAUCAUAGAUCUGCAGGGAGGAAAGAAACGCUGUCACACAUGACGCCUCCAGGAAGAGUAGGUUUUAGGUCGCGUUUCAUUUACCAGUGACUUAUGUUCAUUUAUGUAGAAACAGAUGUUUAUAUGAACAUCUCUGAAGUUGCUUGUAAAGCAAAAACCUCUAACACCCACAUAUGACUUAUUAUACAUGAGUUCAAGUUCAUGAGUUAUGAAAGUAUUUUCCAUUUUUCUGAUAAUAAUUAUCUCUGAUAAGGCUUAGUAGCAGGCAGGUAAUGAUGCGUUCGGGCGUUUACCUGAGCUGUGUGAGGCUCUUGGCCCCGAUGUCCUGACAGGAGUGCUGAAUGCCAGCCAGCAGGUAGGGAACAAACUUGUGGAUGGAGCCUUUGUCCUGCACUGCUCCCGAAACACCCUGAGCAACUUUGAUCUUGUCGCACUCACUGCGAAGGGACACAAGAAAGCAAAGGAGUCAGUUCAGAGACACAGACACAUUUAAGGAGAAUGUGAACUCCCCCCCAAUGUUGCGAGUGUUCUGAUAUUUAAAUAUCAAGGAUUUGAUUUGUUAUUGUGUGAAUUGUCUGCUACUCUGUCCCCUGUUCAACACGCUCAUCAUUCUUUACCACAAAGCAGUGUUUGAGAAGUGCUGUAAACCAAAUGAGGAACAAAUCAUCGUCUGGGAAAAAACUGGUGAAGAAAUGUGACGGCUAUGUUACUUUUCCGUUGCUUUCUUUUUUACCUGCAUGCAGAAACUGCUCUUUAAGACCAAUACAGCCCUUUAUCCAGUUGUUGUACCUGAAAUAUCGCGUCUGAGAGCCCAGGUUUUUGUCCAUAGCGUCUAGGGAGCCCAUGCCGCGGUACUUCUUCAGCCUGAUGCCAUCAGAGAAGAAAUAUUCACCGGGAGCUUCACUAGUGGCAGCCAGGAGUGAGCCCAUCAUCACUGGAUGGAAAGACGUUGUGAUGAUUAAUCAAAACGGUGUCCAACAUUAAUGAAGUGUGUUCAUUUUGUUUUAAGCUCUCACACACUGAAUUUUAUUCAAGUGUGUGCACGCCUGACUCUGAAACAGCCUCUAUGGAUACCUGUGGAUGCUCCCAGUGCCAGGGCCUUGGCCACGUGUCCAACAGUCUGGAUGCCGCCGUCGGCGAUGACCGGCACGCCGAAGCGCCGAGCGUACUCAGAAACCUUAUAGACCGCUGUGGCCUGGGGUCGGCCGCACGCCAGCACUGAUGGAGGGGGUGGAGAUCACGGGAGAGCGGCUUUAUUAUAUGGUAUCUUCACCUUCGUGGCAUGAAUUCCAUCUAAUCUUUAACACUUAAAGUGCACACAGGUCUGACACUCCUCUCCUGCGGUCAUUCAUAAGAAUCAAUGUGAGUUUAGAGCGUUCGGCUGUGUUAUAGCAUGCGUGGUGGAAAAACCCCCGUGAUAGAAGCAACAAUCCACACAGUGAAUGAGCAGACGAGCCAGGGACAUGUCUGCUUCAUGUUGGUUAAAAACAGGAAAUGAGGAAGUUAAAGUGGCCACAUCAGCAGACAGAGGCCACAGCGCACUAGGACUCAGUAUUUACGGGCCUCUGUUCACCUGACCACUGCCAGGCAAAUCAUUUCAAUGACAUAGUUUAAGAUUUAAAACUUUAUUUAACCAAUGGGCAGUGACAACAGGAGGAAAUAUCCCAAUUCCUUACCAUCUACUACAGUUUUGCUUCCUUCAGGGUUACAUGGAAGCUAAAUCAUAAUAAAACUAUCACAUAUAUUUAAACAGGGUUCAACAUGUGGGCUUCAAUUCCAGUGUCUAGAAGGAAUAGGAUGUGCAGAAACACAAAGAGCACUAGAGUCUAUGAUGUCCAUGAAGUUUGAUCCCAGCACUGAAAAAAAUCUGCCAGGUGAAAUAGCCUGCCGAUCCAACCAGCUCCACCACUAGAACCACCUCUGCUCAACAGCGACACCUUGUGGCUGCCAGCUACAUUUUAACAUAUGCAUUAGUUGAAUGACCACAGACUCUCACCAGCCACCAUCUGACCAACCGGUAUCUACAGACAACUAGAAGUGCAGUGUCUCAGUGUGAUUCAAUCAUCCAGACCAGAGACCGAUGGGUCAGGAAGGUGGGUGGAGAUUAGAUAUUAGUGAAUACAGGGGAACAAGCAGAACCCCAAAACCCCCAAGCCAGCUCUCACAAACCAGGACUACGAAUUACCUUUGCUACUUCUACUAAUGCAAAGCUGUUAACCAGUCAAACCAACCGAUCGUGAGGUGGAGGGUGGGGGCCACACUGUGACACUAGAGCCGGGAAGAAGCUGUGGCUGGACAGAAACAACUUACUGGAGUAUCCUGUGACAGUGGUUGGGGUUUUGGGGCUGUGGAGCUUUAUUGCUGGUGGAAUACUGAGGGGAGCUGGACAUGGACACAUAAUACACACACACACACACACCAUAGAAACAGCAAGGUGGGGGAAAGGAAUUAAGAGGUUAAUAACAAGCAGAAAGAGAGAGACAGGGGAGGGAAGGUAGGUAGGAAGACAAUGAGAUGAAGAUGAAGCAAACGUUUAACUAAAACAAACAAAAAAAUUUAAAUUAAAAGACCAGCUCGUGAUCUGAUUGGACUCCAAUAGCACAACAUACAAUUAUCUAUAAUUCCAGCCAACAACAAAUAUUAAAUCCUACCCAAACACAAAACCACUGCUCCUGCAUCAAACAAGUUCGAUCCAAAUCAGCCAUCUUGGAAAAUGACUCAUGUGUAAGAGCAGGAUCCCACAACAACUUCUAUCCAGUCAAAAUCUCAGGAACAAAAGACGUCAGACUAACCCACUCACACACUUAUAACCAGUAUGAGGCUGCAAACUGAGAUCAGGAAUGUCAAUAGCCUGAACGCUGAUCAUCCACUUCAGAGAAAGCUAAAUGUUUGUUUCCUUCUUGGACUAUGUCACAAUACACAGGAUAUCACCACUUGUACUGUCAAGCUAAAGCAGUCCAGUGUUGUCUAAUCCAAGAUCAGUAAACAAAUGGGGAAAUUUAGCAUCACUGAUGCCAAACUCAACUUGUCUGAGACAAAAAUGAAGUCACCAUAGUUCUAACAACAUUUUCAUCAUUUACUUUAAUCAGUGCAGUUCAAAGACUCACC